CCAAGGUGCGUUUACCGGUGAAGGUUGUUGUUGUUAUUGUUGGUGUUUGGCGUUGAAUGAAUUGGGAUGAAGGAUCUAGAAAUAUGGGAGAGGAUUGAUGAUGUUGUUGUUGUUGUUGCUGGGUUCGGUAGAGAGAGUGGUGGUGGAGGUUGUUGGUGAUGGGAACGGUGGUGGUGAGGUUGUUGAUGGUGGAUCUGCCGGUGAAGAACUCCGGCGCACCACCACCGCCGCCGGUGAAACCCGACGACAUGUUUUUUUUUCUUCUCUCUCUCUGAUCAGGCGAAGAAAAUAAGGAGAGAACAGUUAAAAGGUGGUGUUUUCGGAG
rnacentral:lncRNA from 1 species